rnacentral:lncRNA from 1 species
UGAGUCAUACUAACCCAUUUGCUGUUUUGUAGGUUUCAGUAUUCAACCGGUACGCAUAGCUCGUCUGUUCAGAUAACCUGCUGAGGGUCAACAAAUCCAAGCUGAUGGAUCUUCUCAACGCCGACGUCCUUGAGCUGAAAGGGAUGAUGAGGGAGUUGUUCAGCGUUGUGCAAGGGUUUGCCUCGGGGCAGAAAGCCAUGUCCGAAAGACUGGAAAGGAUUGAGAAACGGUUGAUAAUGGAGAAAGUUCAGGAG